rnacentral:rRNA from 1 species
AUGUGUCAACCUCCUGGGUGUGCAGAUCCAGUUGUCCCUCAUUAUUUGUGCAAGCUCCGGAAGGCGUUGUAUGGUCUAAAUCAAGCGCCACGUGCAUGGUAUUCCAGACUCAGUUCCCGUCUUCAGGAACUUGGGUUUGUGCCUUCUAAGGUUGACGCUUCCUUGUUUGUUCACAAUCGUGGUGGUGUUACUAUCUUCAUGCUUGUGUACGUGGAUGAUAUCAUUGUUGCUUGUUCUUCUCAGCCUGCUGUUCUCAAGUUACUUGUUGAUCUCAAGGCUUCCUUUGCCAUCAAGGAUCUUAGUCCUCUACAUUAUUUUCUUGGAGUUCAGGUGAAGUCUUCGCCAAGGGGACUAACUAGUUCUCUCUCUCAACAGAAAUAUAUUGGCAACAUUCUUCCUCGUGCCAACAUGAAAAAUUGCAAGAUCUCCACAACACCUAUGUCCUCCAGAGAGAAGACCAGCAAGGACGGUGGUACACCCCUCUCACAGGAUGAUAGCACAAAGUACCGGAGCUUGCCAAACGCAUUUUGA